AGUGAACGCUGGCGGUAGGCCUAACACAUGCAAGUCGAACGGAAGCACAGUAAGAGCUUGCUCUUACGGGUGGCGAGUGGCGGACGGGUGAGGAAUACAUCGGAAUCUACUUUUUCGUGGGGGAUAACGUAGGGAAACUUACGCUAAUACCGCAUACGACCUACGGGUGAAAGCAGGGGAUCUUCGGACCUUGCGCGAUUGAAUGAGCCGAUGUCGGAUUAGCUAGUUGGCGAGGUAAAGGCCCACCAAGGCGACGAUCCGUAGCUGGUCUGAGAGGAUGAUCAGCCACACUGGAACUGAGACACGGUCCAGACUCCUACGGGAGGCAGCAGUGGGGAAUAUUGGACAAUGGGCGCAAGCCUGAUCCAGCCAUACCGCGUGGGUGAAGAAGGCCUUCGGGUUGUAAAGCCCUUUUGUUGGGAAAGAAAAGCAGCAGGUUAAUACCCCGCUGUUCUGACGGUACCCAAAGAAUAAGCACCGGCUAACUUCGUG
rnacentral:rRNA from 1 species